UACGUAGGGACCGAGCGUUGUCCGGAAUCAUUGGGCGUAAAGAGCGUGUAGGCGGCCACUUAAGUCCUGCGUGAAAUCUUGCGGCUCAACCGCAAGCGGUCGUGGGAAACUGGGUGGCUAGAGUGCGGGAGAGGAGAGUGGAAUUCCUGGUGUAGCGGUGAAAUGCGCAGAUAUCAGGAGGAACACCAAUGGCGAAGGCAGCUCGCUGGGACGGUACUGACGCUGAGACGCGAAAGCGUGGGGAGCAAACAGG
rnacentral:rRNA from 1 species